rnacentral:rRNA from 1 species
CGCACGGGUGAGUAACACGUAUCCAACCUGCCGUCUACUCUUGGACAGCCUUCUGAAAGGAGGAUUAAUACAAGAUGGCAUCAUGAGUUCACAUGUUCACAUGAUUAAAGGUAUUCCGGUAGACGAUGGGGAUGCGUCCCAUUAGAUAGUAGGCGGGGUAACGGCCCACCUAGUCUUCGAUGGAUAGGGGUUCUGAGAGGAAGGUCCCCCACAUUGGAACUGAGACACGGUCCAA